UACGAAGGGGGCUAGCGUUGCUCGGAAUCACUGGGCGUAAAGCGCACGUAGGCGGAUCUUUAAGUCAGGGGUGAAAUCCCAAGGCUCAACCUUGGAACUGCCUUUGAUACUGGGGAUCUCGAGUCCGGAAGAGGUUGGUGGAACUCCGAGUGUAGAGGUGAAAUUCGUAGAUAUUCGGAAGAACACCAGUGGCGAAGGCGGCCAACUGGUCCGGCACUGACGCUGAGGUGCGAAAGCGUGGGGAGCAAACGGG
rnacentral:rRNA from 1 species